rnacentral:rRNA from 1 species
UACGAAGGGGGCUAGCGUUGUUCGGAUUUACUGGGCGUAAAGCGCACGUAGGCGGACUAUUAAGUCAGGGGGUGAAAUCCCGGGGCUCAACCCCGGAACUGCCUUUGAUACUGGUAGUCUUGAGUUCGAGAGAGGUGAGUGGAAUUCCGAGUGUAGAGGUGAAAUUCGUAGAUAUUCGGAGGAACACCAGUGGCGAAGGCGGCUCACUGGCUCGAUACUGACGCUGAGGUGCGAAAGCGUGGGGAGCAAACAGG